rnacentral:rRNA from 1 species
UUUCCAGACUCCUACGGGAGGCAGCAGUGGGGAAUAUUGCACAAUAGGGGAAACCCUGAUGCAGCGACGCCGCGUGAGCGAUGAAGUAUUUCGGUAUGUAAAUCUCUAUCAGCAGGGAAGAAAAUGACGGUACCUGACUAAGAAGCCCCGGCUAACUACGUGCCAGCAGCCGCGGUAAUACGUAGGGGGCAAGCGUUAUCCGGAUUUACUGGGUGUAAAGGGAGCGUAGACGGCUGUGCAAGCCAGAUGUGAAAGCCCGGGGCUCAACCCCGGGACUGCAUUUGGAACUGUGUGGCUGGAGUGUCGGAGAGGCAGGCGGAAUUCCUAGUGUAGCGGUGAAAUGCGUAGAUAUUAGGAGGAACACCAGUGGCGAAGGCGGCUUACUGGACUGUAACUGACGUUGAGGCUCGAAAGCGUGGGGAGCAAACAGGAUUAGAUACCCGAGUACAA